rnacentral:rRNA from 1 species
CCUACGGGAGGCAGCAGUGAGGAAUAUUGGUCAAUGGUCGCGAGCCUGAACCAGCCAAGCCGCGUGAGGGAAGACGGUCCUAAGUAUUGUAAACCUCUUUUGUCAGGGAACAAAAGACGGCACGCGUCCCGGUCCGAGAGUACCCGAAGAAAAAGCAUCGGCUAACUCCGUGCCAGCAGCCGCGGUAAUACGGAGGAUGCGAGCGUUAUCCGGAUUUAUUGGGUUUAAAGGGUGCGCAGGCGGUAGUUGAAGUCAGCGGUCAAAGCCCGGGGCUCAACCCCGUCGAGCCGUUGAAACUGGUUGUCUUGAGUGAGUGAGAAGUAUGCGGAAUGCGCGGUGUAGCGGUGAAAUGCAUAGAUAUCGCGCAGAACUCCGAUUGCGAAGGCAGCAUACCGGCGCUACACUGACGCUGAGGCACGAAAGUGUGGGUAUCGAACAGGAUUAGAUACCCUUGUAGUC